GUGUCGUCAUACUUACCCGGAUACUCGGCAAGUAGAGCAGUUAACUUCCAUCGACGUAGACGACUUCGUUCGGUCAGCAACAUUUCUAGGGAGAGGUAAAAGUUGACAAUGUCGUCCCCGGAAAACGGUUCAGUGUCUCCGGACCAAAGCGUGAAACCUGGAUCGGCGACGCCCGGAUUAUACGGCAGCACCAACUACGAUCAGGAGGCGGUGACGGGCGACGACAACGACGGCCCACCCCUCUCCUUCGCUGACCUGGGGAUACCAACAGGUCCCCAGAUAGAGACCACUGUUGCUGGGAAGAUUCGGAGGAUCCAAGAUAUUGAAAGGAAGGAAUUGGUGUUCCUCGUUGUAUCUGCAAUCGCCAUUGUCGCAUCCACUGGCUUCACCAUCUACAAGCUGGCCACUGUGGACAAACACCAAACGGACUUCGUGUUCGCCCUCGUCAUCAUUGUCAAUGCAUGCUUCUGCUUGUUCUAUCUGGUGCACGGGGUACUGAAGGAACGCCCGUAUGAAAUCUUCAUCCUCGUCAUCACCACCAUCAUCAUGCUCGUCUACCUCAUCGUCAACUAUUCCGUCGGAAAGCAGGACACUAUAAAGCUGGUCCGGCUGAUCAUUGCGUGCUGCCUUGCGCCCGUGGUGGUGGGGCUGGGUGGGUGGCUGGGCAGGGAGUACCUGCUGUCAGGGAACCUCAUCUUCAGGACGGUCGGUGCCAGCUCCAUGCUGCAGGCCAUGUGCAACAAACUCUUCCUCUUCCUGGACCUUCUCAAGCUUGACCUUCAACUCGGGAUCACCAUGGUUAUCCUGAUUCUUGUAAACGGCGUCAAUAUCAACACACUUGACAUCGUUGUUCUCUGUGUCGGUAUCGUCGUAACCAUAGGCUGGUUCUUCUUGGGACAUGCAUGUGUGCGCCACGAGAGCAAGAUCAUGACAUAUGUGUUUUGGGGUCUGAGUCCUCUGGAUCUCUGCUAUGUCAUUUAUAAAAUUGUCAAGGCGUUUACACGGCUGACAGUGGCCCCGGCGCUAGCGGCGUGCUCCAUCACCGCAGGCUUUCUGGCAGCAGCAGUUCGGGUCGCCGUCAUUAUCCUCACCUACUUUAUCUUCAGGAACUACGACAACGGCCUCAAGGAGAAAGCUUUCGGAGCCGCGGACUCAUAAGCCGGUCAUCAAGGAUGUUCAUAUCAUACCUUUCUCCACCUGUGUCCACCUCCACUUGGCAUCCAUCAGUACAUGAUACCGUACACCACCUGUGUCAACCUCAAUCAUCACAUGGUAUACAUUACCAUAUGAUACCUUACACCACCUGUGUCAACCAUCACUUGUGACCACAAGGUGUGAGAGGAACAGGUUCAACACGAAAUGGACAAGCCUUCCAGAUGACAUAGCCACUGCAUCACGCCUAACAUACCUUACAGCACGUAUUUCUAGCUUGAAUAUUGCUGAGUGUGGGGUAUAACUAAACUCACUCACUCUAGCUACACAUAUACCCCAGUAGAUUGUACAUCGUGUAUCAUACAGUCACAUAACACAGGGUUAUAGUCUCAUAGUCUCAGCCCCUCAUGGGGCGGUGGUUGAAACGUUCUCUCGUCACGCCGAAGACCAAGGUUCGUUCCCCACAUAGGUACAAUGUCUGAAGCCCAUUUCCUAUGUCCCCCACUGUGAUAUUGCUGAAAUAUUUCUAAAAGUGGCGUAAAACCAUACUCACUCACUCACUCAGCCCCUCAUUUACAGUGUCAGUCACAGUCUCUCUCUCAGUCAAACAGUGUAAGGUCACCAGGCUAACGUCUUAACAGUUCAGGAAUUGCAGCUUUGUCAUCCUAGAACGUUGUUAACAUGUCUAUAUAUGAAGUGUAAAUACUCGUACAUUCGUUUGCUCAGUGCUACUAGGUGUUGAUGUUUUUAUUCCAACAUAUGAAACCUGGAUUUGUAAUCAUUGCAUAAUAUGUAAAUACCUAUAAAGGAUAACAUACCUAGUAAAAUAAACAUGUUAAAUGAA
rnacentral:misc_RNA from 1 species